CGAGGGGGUACAAGUACAGCAGCCUCAAAGCAUGCUGAUGCGGUUGGAAGAGAGAAGCUUGUUCAUCCAGACUUGGAUCUCAACUAUAUGGUGAGCAAAAGAAGAGUUCCCAAAGGACCAGAUCCUAUUCACAACAGGAGAGCCGGGAGCUCGGGACGGCCCCCCGGUCAAGCUUAGCCACUAAUUAAGUACUCCAACAGGAGUAGUGCAGAUGAAGACGAUGCACGGGAUGGAUCGAGAUGCAUACGAAUCGAUGGAGAUGCAUAUGCCCUUUAGGCUUAUGUAUGUAUGUCUGUGUUUAAAUAUUCUUGGAAAAAUAUUGUGAAAACUCCCAGCUGUACGUGUAUGCAUAUGCAAAUCUUUUUCAUGACAGAAAUAGCUCUGGGAGGCGUUCGGGGAGAGUAUACGAAAGGAAAUGAAGAUUGCCACUCACACAAAAAUACGUUCAUCGGUCAAAUAUUACUGUUUUCUCCAUAAUUUUUUUUAGUGAGUGAUAGAUAUAGCAAAUUUUUAGUCGAUAGAGGAAAUUUGUCUUUGCAUGUAAAAAAGCCGAUGAGAAUAUAUUUAUGUGUGGAACAUAACUUAAAGUACUCAAAAGAUGUUGUAGCAGUCACCAUGCGUGCAUGGGAUGGUUUGGCCUGCACUUUUCAAGAUGCUCAAAUAUAUAUAUACAAGGGAAGUGAUUUUUACA